CUCCGCGCCCGCUCUGGUCCGCGCCGGGUCGGGAGCGGGGCCCGGUGGAGCGGCGGCCGCAGGGGAGAGGCUGGGGUUGUCAGGGGAAGGCCUGGAGUCCUCCAGGGACGGUUCGGUGUUCGCAGUGGACGGGCUGGGGUCCGCAGGACAGUUUUUGGCUCAGACCACAGCUACUUUCUCUUUUCCUGAGAUGAUAUAA
rnacentral:lncRNA from 1 species